UCAAGUGUCAAAAGGGCGUUUAGUGGAUGCCUUGGCAUGUAGAGGCGAUGAAGGACGUGGCACGCUGCGAUAAGUCUCGGGGAGUUGCGAGCAGACUUUGAUCCGAGAAUUUCCGAAUGGGGAAACCCACCUUUACGGACCCUGGCGGUCGCUUGGCUGGUUAGCCGGCCGAUCGAUCACCAGAGUUCGUGUGAGGUAUCUAAACCUGAAUACAUAGGGUUUAGAAGCAAACCCGGGGAACUGAAACAUCUAAGUACCCGGAGGAAAGGACAUCAAUUGAGACUCCGUUAGUAGUGGCGAGCGAACGCGGACCAGGCCAGUGCUCUUAUCAAUCGAACUGGAACCGUCUGGAAAGUCGGGCCGCAGUGGGUGACAGCCCCGUACAGGUAGGAAAGAUAAGAGACUCGAGUAGGGCGGGACACGUGAAAUCCUGUCUGAACAUGGGGGGACCAUCCUCCAAGCCUAAGUACUCCUACAUGACCGAUAGUGAACCAGUACCGUGAGGGAAAGGUGAAAAGCACCCCGACGAGGGGAGUGAAACAGACCCUGAAACUGGACGCCUACAAGCAGUCGGAGGGCGCAAGCCUGACGGCGUACCUUUUGUAUAAUGGGUCAGCGACUUCGUCUCUCGAGCAAGCUUAAGCCGAUAGGUGUAGGCGUAGCGAAAGCGAGUCUUAAUAGGGCGACUGAGUUCGAGGGAUGAGACCCGAAGCCGGGUGAUCUAGCCAUGAGCAGGUUGAAGGUGAGGUAACACUCACUGGAGGACCGAACCCACGUCUGUUGAAAAAGACGGGGAUGACUUGUGGCUAGGGGUGAAAGGCCAAUCAAACCCGGAAAUAGCUGGUUCUCCGCGAAAUCUAUUUAGGUAGAGCGUCUCGUGAAUACCCAUGGGGGUAGAGCACUGGAUGGGCUAGGGGGUCCCAACGACUUACCAAACCUAACCAAACUCCGAAUACCAUGGAGUACUGCGAGGCAGACACACUGCGGGUGCUAAGGUCCGUAGUGAAGAGGGAAACAGCCCUGACCGCCAGCUAAGGUCCCUAAGUUAUCACUAAGUGGGAAACGAUGUGGGAGUGCUUAGACAACCAGGAGGUUGGCUUAGAAGCAGCCAUCCUUUAAAGAAAGCGUAACAGCUCACUGGUCAAGCGCUCCUGCGCGGAAAAUGUAACGGGGCUUAAGUGAUACACCGAAGCUGCGGAUUCGAUCUUUGAUCGAGUGGUAGCGGAGCGUUCCGUAGGCCGAUGAAGGCAGACCCGCGAGGGCUGCUGGAGGUAUCGGAAGUGAGAAUGCUGACAUGAGUAGCGACAAAGAGGGUGAGAGACCCUCUCGCCGAAAGUCCAAGGGUUCCUGCGCAAUGCUAAUCAGCGCAGGGUUAGUCGGCCCCUAAGGCGAGGCAGAAAUGCGUAGUCGAUGGGAAGCAGGUUAAUAUUCCUGCACCAGUGGGUAGUGACGGAUCUCGUGUGUCGUCAGUCCUUAUCGGAUUGAACUGGCGGCGAAGAGGUCCCUGGAAAUAGCUCCCACAUGAGACCGUACCCCAAACCGACACAGGUGGACUGGUAGAGCAUACCAAGGCGCUUGAGAGAACUAUGCUGAAGGAACUCGGCAAAUUGCUCCCGUAAGUUCGCGAGAAGGGAGCCUCUGCAUUGGGCAACCAGUGUGGAGGGGCACAGACCAGGGGGUGGCGACUGUUUACUAAAAACACAGGGCUCUGCGAAGUCGCAAGACGACGUAUAGGGUCUGACGCCUGCCCGGUGCCGGAAGGUUAAAAGGAGGAGUGAGAGCUCCGAAUUGAAGCCCCGGUAAACGGCGGCCGUAACUAUAACGGUCCUAAGGUAGCGAAAUUCCUUGUCGGGUAAGUUCCGACCUGCACGAAUGGCGUAACGACUUCCCCGCUGUCUCCAGCAUAGACUCAGCGAAAUUGAAUUCUCCGUGAAGAUGCGGAGUUCCCGCGGUCAGACGGAAAGACCCCGUGCACCUUUACUACAGCUUGACAGUGGUAUUAGCGAUUAUUUGUGUAGGAUAGGCGGGAGUCUAUGAAACCAAGGCGCCAGCUUUGGUGGAGACAUCCUUGAAAUACCGCCCUGAUAAUUGUUGAUAUCUAACCGCGGCCCAUGAACCUGGGUCCGGGACCCUGUCUGGUGGGUAGUUUGACUGGGGCGGUCGCCUCCCAAAGAGUAACGGAGGCGCGCGAUGGUGGGCUCAGAGCGGUCGGAAAUCGCUCGUUGAGUGCAAUGGCAUAAGCCCGCCUGACUGUGAGACUGACAGGUCGAGCAGAGUCGAAAGACGGCCAUAGUGAUCCGGUGGUCCCGCAUGGAAGGGCCAUCGCUCAACGGAUAAAAGGUACGCCGGGGAUAACAGGCUGAUGAUGCCCAAGAGUCCAUAUCGACGGCAUUGUUUGGCACCUCGAUGUCGGCUCAUCGCAUCCUGGGGCUGGAGCAGGUCCCAAGGGUUUGGCUGUUCGCCAAUUAAAGCGGUACGUGAGCUGGGUUUAGAACGUCGUGAGACAGUUCGGUCCCUAUCUGCCGUGGGUGUCGGAAAAUUGAGAGGAGCUGCCCCUAGUACGAGAGGACCGGGGUGGACGUAUCUCUGGUGGACCUGUUGUUGCGCCAGCAGCAUAGCAGGGUAGCUAUAUACGGAAGGGAUAACCGCUGAAUGCAUCUAAGCGGGAAGCCCCCCUCAAAACCAGUUUUCCCUUGAGAGUCGUGGAAGACCACCACGUUGAUAGGCCAGAUGUGGAAGCGUGGCGACACGUGAAGCUGACUGGUACUAAUUACUCGAUUGUCUUGAUCUU
rnacentral:rRNA from 1 species